GGAAUAUUGGACAAUGGGCGCAAGCCUGAUCCAGCCAUGCCGCGUGAGUGACGAAGGUCUUCGGAUUGUAAAGCUCUUUUGCCAGGGACGAUAAUGACGGUACCUGGAGAAUAAGCCCCGGCUAACUUCGUGCCAGCAGCCGCGGUAAUACGAAGGGGGCUAGCGUUGUUCGGAAUUACUGGGCGUAAAGCGCACGUAGGCGGAUAUGUAAGUCAGGGGUGAAAUCCCGGGGCUCAACCUCGGAACUGCCUUUGAUACUGCAAAUCUUGAGUCCGGAAGAGGUGAGUGGAAUUCCUAGUGUAGAGGUGAAAUUCGUAGAUAUUAGGAAGAACACCAGUGGCGAAGGCGGCUCACUGGUCCGGUACUGACGCUGAGGUGCGAAAGCGUGGGGAGCAAA
rnacentral:rRNA from 1 species